rnacentral:rRNA from 1 species
AUGACGGCGGCUACGUCGCUUCCUUCUUUGAGGCAUCGCCUUGGAGAGUCAGCAUACUGCAGUUUGCACGGAUCUCUUCAUCGUCGGGGACAGUGGACGUCGGGGCGGCGGCUCCGGGUGGUUUCUGAUUGUGCGUUGAGAUGGCGAUCUCGGGAACAAUGCGAGUGGCAGCUCUAUGAGGUGGGGCUCUAUCUCCACAUUGGUUGGGUGGCAUCCUUGUCCCGCUUGGGCGGUAGGGGUGUCGGCUCGGUCGAUGCGCCCCAUAGGGGGCGGUCUGAUGUUAUGUCGGGGCGGUGGCCCCGGAUGUGGUGA